CUCUGAUUGGCUGGUUAUUUAGAACCUUAUGUUACUUCACUUCAGUCAAAUAUUUUUGCCUGACAGAAUAUUCAGGUUUUGUUUUCCCCGAUCCAAAAUUAUAUUUCGAUAGGCUUAACGUUACUUCCGAAAUACAUUAUGAAAAUAACAAAUGAAAAAACGUUGUCAUUUGUCCAACCAAAUUAAAGUAGUUGAGCAGCAGACAAAACUGACAGAUUUCGAAAGCAACCGGAUCUUCCAUGACAACAAUGAUUGGCCAGACCUGUGGACAGUAAACACAGCGGCAGACUGGACGGCCACGGAGCACCAUGUGAGGAGCCUUUGUUGUGACGGCCCCAGCCAAGCCGCCUCGUUCCCAGGCUCCGCAUGAGGCCCUGAGACAGAAAGGCCCUGAGACGGAAAGGAGCUACGUGUCACGUCAGGGGCUAGUCUCACACAGUUCUUUUGAUAUCCCCCCAACGCC
ensembl:lncRNA